rnacentral:rRNA from 1 species
GAUGAACGCUGGCGGCGUGCUUAACACAUGCAAGUCGAACGGAAAGGCCUCUGCUUGCAGGGGUACUCGAGUGGCGAACGGGUGAGUAACACGUGGGUGAUCUGCCCUGCACUUCGGGAUAAGCCUGGGAAACUGGGUCUAAUACCGGAUAGGACAAUGGUUUGGAUGCUGUUGUGGAAAGUUUUUCGGUGUGGGAUGAGCUCGCGGCCUAUCAGCUUGUUGGUGGGGUAAUGGCCUACCAAGGCGUCGACGGGUAGCCGGCCUGAGAGGGUGUACGGCCACAUUGGGACUGAGAUACGGCCCAGACUCCUACGGGAGGCAGCAGUGGGGAAUAUUGCACAAUGGGCGCAAGCCUGAUGCAGCGACGCCGCGUGGGGGAUGGCGGCCUUCGGGUUGUAAACUCCUUUCGCUAGGGACGAAGCGUUUUUGUGACGGUACCUGGAGAAGAAGCACCGGCUAACUACGUG